rnacentral:lncRNA from 1 species
UGAAAAACAUGGCCAUCGCACCUGUCUAACUGAUGACCUGAGAAUACAAGUUAUUUUGAAAGCGAGUAUCAGCUUUAAAGCUGGUGAAUUCAUAAGUAUUUAAGUGUUAUUGUCCUUGUUUGGAAUGCUGUUAAGAAUGUCGUAUAAAUCUUUAAAUAGAACAUUUGAUAUAAGUAUGAAAUGUGGUCUUCUACCCAGACCCGAAUGUUUUGUUAUGACAAAGUAAAAUGAUAGGUUUUCCUUUCUAUUGACUAGUACUAAAAGUACUUAGUCUAACUCAUCGUUUAUGUGAAUAUAUCACAAAAUAAAGUAAAAAGGAAAAAUGAUAUGAUAGUCUUCUACCAGACCUAAAUGUUUUGUAAGUAAAAUGAUAGUUUUUCCUUUCUAUUGACUAGUACUAAAUGUACUUAGUCUAACUCAUUGUUUAUGUGAAUAUAUCACACAAUAAAGUAAAAAGGAAAAAUGAUAUGAUAGUCUUCUACCAAGACCUAAAUGUUUUGUAAGUAAAAUGAUAGUUUUUCCUUUCUAUUGACUAGUACUAAAAGUACUUAGUCUAACUCGUCGUUUAUGUGAAUAUAUCACAAAAUAAAGUAAAAUAGGAAAAUGAUAUGAUAGUCUUCUACCAAGACCUAAAUGUUUUGUAAGUAAAAAUGAUAGUUUUUCCUUUCUAUUGAGUAGUACUAAAAGUACUUAGUCUAACUCAUCGUUUAUGUGAAUAUAUCACAAAAUAAAGUGAACAGGAAAAAGUAUAAUCAUG